UCAGGCGCUUGUGGCGAUUUGUUACCGGAUUGCGGGCCACGUUAAACACACCGCUAAAGAGGUCAGGAUGAGGGAACC
rnacentral:ncRNA from 2 species